GGUUUCGAGUCUUUCUUCACUUCUGGCAUUACAGAAUGUUCCAGGCUUAUCUUGUACUUCCCUCUCCCAGCCCUGAAGUCAGCCAUUCCUCUAAGGAGCCCUGGCUGUCUUUAGCAGCGAACAGUACUGGAGACCAGGACCUGCCUGCUAGCGUGCACACUGUAACUUGGUCUCUGGAUUUAUCUACUAAUCCUUUUAAAUUGCUACUCUUCCUGAUGUUUGGUAGAACGACUGUGUAGCUAUGGCCAUACUGAAGGAUGUUGCCAUUGCUUCCAACUUAUUUCUACCCCAAGAAUGUCUCAGGGACUGCUCUGGGACACACUCCUUGGGCGCCUGUAGCUGACUAGAAGUGGAAUUUCUUGGUCAUGAGGUGGUGGGAUUAAAGAACACGCCACCACACCCAUCUUCACUGUUAUUUGAGCCUCCAGCCUGAUUCCCCUUGCCACAGCCUCCCAAGUACUGGGAUUAUAACCCUAUAUCACCAUGCUUGGCCUAGAUAUUUUUCUUAAAGAAGCCAUACCUACCCAGCUCACCAAAACUCUAUCCAGUGAGAGUAUAGCCUGCACAGGAAAGAACACAGAGAGCAAAAUGGUCCCAGAUGGAAACCCAGCACAACACAGGAGCAUGAUGCCAGCACUCCCCACAGACAGCAGUCUGCAAACGCUCAAGUCCCUUGUAUGAAAUGGCGUAGUAUUCAUUUAGAGCCUACAGCGUCCUCCCCUCUGCUCGCGACCUUCUUUGAAUGAGCUCUUCGUCCUAGUGCUGCGGAAAUGUCGUGGAAAUAGCCGUUCAGUGUCGACACUUGGUCAGUCUGCCAUUGGUUGAACCCACAGAUGCAGAACCUGCGCCUACUAAAGGCCAAUCAUAGAAGGGUGAGCCUGGAACAGAAAAACAGUAUUUUAGUAAGUGAAUGAAAGCAUAAACACUUGGGUGCAUGCUUUCUACACUAAGAAUGAUGUCCUACACACACAGCACUACCCUGACUGAGCUGUGUGCUCUGCUAUCAUUCCCACGGAUGCUUCUGUGGCUAAGAUUUAGGUUUUCCCAGGGAUUAGAAUUCAGGCCCAUUUUCCCAUUGCAUUUACCUGAUCUACCCCUGUAACCUCUCUUAUUAUACAACAGUCUGCCCAUUCCCCUCAUGGUAAGUGACCAGAGCAAUGAAGUUAUGCAAAGUCCCACAUUCUGAGGAUUUGAUUGUUCAUGAAAUUAAAAAACA